AUCCCGCGUGCAAUUACACAGUACAGACCGGCCUUCAUCACGAGCUUAAAACUGUAAGGAGCCUCUUUAAGAAUGCGUUUUUGACUCGUGUUCACUCGUGUUCGUCAGUUUUUGACUCGUGUUCGUCAUUUUUGACUCGUGUUCACUCGUGUUCGUCAGUUUUUGACUGGUGUUCACUCGUGUUCGUCAUUUUGACUCGUGUUCACUCGUGUUCGUCAGUUUUUGACUCGUGUUCACUCGUGUUCACAAAUUUUUGACUCGUGUUCACUCGUGUUGUCUCGUGUUCACUCGUGUUCUGACUCGUGUUCACUCGUGUUGUCUUGUGUUCACUCGUGUUCUGACUCGUGUGGUCUUUGAUCUGUAAAU